rnacentral:misc_RNA from 1 species
CCGCUGUCCACACUUUCACUCCACUUCCCAUCUCAGUCCAUUUGCCGAAAUGUCUAACGUCAUCGUCCUCGACAACGGCGGCGGUUUUAUAAAAGCCGGCCACGGCGGCGAACGUGAUCCUGUCACUGUAAUCCCCAACUGCCUCUACCGUCCUCUCUCCUCCAAGAAAUUCCUACAUCCAUCUCCCACAGCCUCUGCCUCAACCGAAGACCUAACCUCCGCCGCUGUUCGCCGUCCAAUUGACCGCGGCUACCUCAUAAACCCCGACCUCCAGCGGGAUAUCUGGAGUCACCUCUUUACCUCUCUUCUCCACAUCACUCCCUCCAAUUACUCCCUUCUCUUGACGGAACCUCCCUUCACUCUCCCAUCAAUCCAGCGUGCUACAGACGAGCUUGUCUUCGAGGAUUUUGGUUUCAAGUCCCUUUUCAUCACCGACUCGCCCAAGCUUGUUCAUCUUUACGAGGCGAGUAGGAGGCCUGAUGGGUUAAUCUCCAAAGCGCAGUGCAGUCUGGUGGUGGAUUGUGGGUUCUCGUUCACUCAUGCAGCUCCUGUUUUCCAGAACUUCACGCUUAAUUACGGAGUGAAGAGGAUUGAUUUGGGUGGUAAAGCGCUGACCAAUUACUUGAAGGAGUUGGUUUCUUAUCGCUCGGUGAAUGUGAUGGACGAGAGCUUUCUUAUGGAUGAUGUGAAAGAGAAACUUUGCUUUGUUUCCCUUGAUAUUGCUCGCGAUUUGCAGGUUGCCAGAAAACGUGGGAAGGACAAUGUCUUGCGCUGUGUUUAUGUUCUUCCUGAUGGCAUCACCCACACUAAGGGUUUUGUGAAGGACCCAGAUGAAGCAAAGAGAUACCUCACUAUGACUGGUGUGGAUUCUCCAUCUUUAGAAACAAUAAAGGGUAUAGAUCGACCUGAACUUUCAGAGAAGCUGGAGGACCGAAGGAGAAUUGAUUUAACGAAAAAUGUGAGCUUGCUGUCUUUGGAAGCAUGUAUUCAGCUUAAUUCUACUGUCUCUUUAAUUUUUACUAUCUGUGCAGGAGUUUGAGUUGACAAAUGAACGGUUCCUUGUUCCAGAAAUGAUCUUCCACCCUGCAGAUUUGGGGAUGAACCAGGCUGGACUAGCAGAGUGCAUAGUUCGAGCAGUCAAUUCCUGCCAUCCUGUUCUUCAUCCUGUACUCUAUGAGAGCAUUAUAUUGACUGGUGGAAGCACAUUAUUUCCUCGAUUUUCUGAGAGACUGUAAGCCCAUAUUCCUUUCCUGUUUUCUUGUGUACUAUAAAUCUUAUUUUUGAUUUGUGGACUUCUAUUCAUGUCUUUGGAGGAAAUUGCAGUGAAAUGGAGAUCCGGCCUCUUGUCCCUGAUGAGUAUCAAGUGAAGAUAACCACGCAAGAAGAGUAAACUCUUCACUCUUGGAAAGUAUUAAUUUGCCUUUUUUAAGUGCCACUGUUUCCUAUUUAGUAAAAUCUUGUGGUGCUUGUCCAGUCCCAUACUAGGUGUGUGGCGAGGUGGAUCACUUUUGGCAUCGAGUCCUGAUUUUGAAGCAAUGUGUGUCACCAAGUCUGAGUACGAGGAACUUGGAUCUGCUCGAUGUCGUAAGAGAUUCUUUCAUUGAGCGCUUAAAAUGCUGAAGGUAUCCUAUAUCCUUACUGACAUAGAAAUGUGUGCAAUCUGUUCAUGAACAUUACAGAUGAAAAAUAUUUUUGCCACCCAAAUUCUUCAUAUACAUAAUUUAUGCUAAUUGUCCUACUAGUUUUAAUCAAACAGCAUAAAGUAAAAUGCAGCUGGUGCUAAGCUUUCUUCCAAGCUUUGCUGGGUCGUGUUGGUUAUUGGCUUGCAUAGGAAGGCAUGGGCCCAAUCCUUAUGUUGAUCAGCUCGAUAUGGUCAAGUGCUAGCACUCAGAAGGACUCUUGGUGACAAAUUUCAAUAUCAAUUGGUAGUUAAUUUAUCCUGGUGCUAGCUGACCCCCUCAUUUUUGCCUCAAGGGUAAACCAUAGACAACCAGAUAUUACAGAUACAUUGGAGUGUCAAGUGAUGGUGACCCAAGGUCAAAUUCGCAGGAAAAUUCCUGUUUAUUGGGGGUGACUCUGCGAGCAAGAUCUUGUUUUGUUGUGUAAUUUGAUGAAAUUUUCUGGGCAUUGUAUUUAAGAUUGUGGGUUAAUGUUUGUCACAUUUCAAGUGAAAUUCACCAAAACUUCCAGUGAAAAUGCAAAUGCCCCAUGAUUAUUAUUUUAGAAUUGCAAAUAGAUACCGAAUCAUAA